rnacentral:lncRNA from 1 species
UGGCUUUCCGGGAAACAUAGUACACAUGUGAAAUUCUGAAAUGAAUCAGGCUACUUGCUCCUGGAUUCCCUUCCAAUCAUUUGUAACACAGGAAGACUUUCCCAAUCUCUGAAGAUUUUCUGUCUUCCGUCUUUCCAUCUGAGAUGCCUUUUCUCCAGCCUCUGGAACUUUUGCAUCCGGGGUCAUGCCUGAAGCCAAAGUCAGCCAUACCCACCCUCAUGCUCUGUGUUGCUCAGAAAUUCCAAGAAGUUUCCUGGUACUGCACUGACAGGAACAGGCUGGAAUGUACUGCAGUCUCAAAGCAGCCCAGGCAAUGUUCCUGAGACUGAGCUCCAGAACACAGCUUCCAACAGGGAGAUAAGUAACUUCAAGGAGCCUGUCUUACACAGGUCUGUGGAAAACUUGAUGUCCUUGCUAUGGGUCUACAGGAGUAAUGCUUCUCAGCUCAAGGGCAGGUAUGAGUGGAGAGUGAAGGUGGCUGUCACCAGGACAAAAUCAUAUUUACUUUUGUGAGAAAUGACGAAGGGAAUGCAUGUUAAAGUUCUGUCCUUAUGGUACAAAAACUCAAUUCAGUCCCUGGACUAUCAGAGCUCUUUAUGACCACUGUUUGAGAACCAUCACUCCAAUAAAAGCAAUGGUAGCUGUGGAGAUGUUAGAGUC